AGCGAACGCUGGCGGCAGGCCUAACACAUGCAAGUCGAACGAACCUUUCGGGGUUAGUGGCGGACGGGUGAGUAACACGUGGGAACGUGCCUUUAGGUUCGGAAUAACUCAGGGAAACUUGUGCUAAUACCGAAUGUGCCCUUCGGGGGCAAGAUUUAUCGCCUUUAGAGCGGCCCGCGUCUGAUUAGCUAGUUGGUUGAGGUAAUGGCUCACCAAGGCGACGAUCAGUAGCUGGUCUGAGAGGAUGAUCAGCCACAUUGGGACUGAGACACGGCCCAAACUCCUACGGGAGGCAGCAGUGGGGAAUCUUGCGCAAUGGGCGAAAGCCUGACGCAGCCAGGCCGCGUGAAUGAUGAAGGUCUGAGGAUUGUAAAAUUCUUUCACCGGGGACGAUAAUGACGGUACCCGGAGAAGAAGCCCCGGCUAACUUCGUG
rnacentral:rRNA from 1 species